rnacentral:snRNA from 1 species
GUGCUUGCUUCCACCGCACAUAUAGUAAAAUUGGAAUGAUACAGAGAAGAUUAGCAUGGCUCCUACGCAAGGAUGACACGCAAAUUCGUGAAGCGUCCCAUAUUUGG